rnacentral:rRNA from 1 species
UACAGAGGUCCCGAGCGUUGUUCGGAUUCACUGGGCGUAAAGGGUGCGUAGGUGGUGAGGUAAGUUGGAUGUGAAAUCCCCGGGCUCAACCUGGGAACUGCAUUCAAAACUGACAAGCUAGAGUAUGGUAGAGGGUGGUGGAAUUUCCUGUGUAGCGGUGAAAUGCGUAGAUAUAGGAAGGAACACCAGUGGCGAAGGCGACCACCUGGACUGAUACUGACACUGAGGUGCGAAAGCGUGGGGAGCAAACAGG